UUCAGCGAGGGUCACCAAAUCAGAGGCUUGUAGUAGAUUUGCGUUUGUAAUUUAUAGUGAAAGUAUUUAUAUAGUAAGUUACGCCAGGAAGAGGAGGGUUUCUUGAAGGUGCGGGGCCUCACUUGGCCCCGCACGGACCCUUAAUUUCGAAAAUGCUCGGAUGAGAGCUGACGAAGAACUGAACAGAAUGUCGGUUGUUCCGCUUUUAUACCUGAUUCUUUAGAACAUCUAAAGAAUCAGAUUUACAAGAUUUGAAAUUUAAAAAUAGUCGAGUACCAGUUAUGAUUUUACCAAAAUUUUGAAUAACCUUUGCCGAAAGUAUACAUACUAGUCUUUUUAGUGGUGAAAUCCGAACAGUUGAAAGCCGAUUGACGGGUUACGUCAAUCAUCUUACAAAAUGUAAACAAUGAAAGAAUCCCGAAAAAUACAGCGAUAAUAUUAACAAAAAUCCCCUAGAUUUAUAUAAAAUAGUUGGAAAACCCUAAAGGUAUGUAUUUAGGUGGCUUAGGGCCGCAUUGCAUAUGAAAAGUUAUAAAAAUAAUAGCCCAAAGUAAGCCAGGCAGAAGUCCCAGUCUUCCCAUGCAUCCUGAGGGUUGAAAAGGACUUUAAGAGUCUUAUUAGAGUCUGUAAAUUUCAGAUACAAUUCAAGAAGUAUCAUAAUGUGAUCGGAGCCAUAAUAAGCAAGUCAGAACGAUCGGACUUGGAAAGCUAAAUGAAAGAAUUAGGAUACAAUAAACAGAGGAAGGAGGUCAUUCCAAGAGUUGGCCUACCGCUCUGGAUGAAGAAAAUAAAAAGAAAGAAAGAAAAGGGGCACCUGGCGGAUAAGCCACCCUAAGUAAGAUAUGGAGAAAUAUUUACAGGAUGAACACACACACACGUAAUGGAAUACAUGGAAAAUGAAGAUUAAUGGAGGAUGAAACGAGCUUGGAGAAGGGAGAGGGGAGAAGAAGGAGCCGAGUAGAAGGCUGAAGAAAGAAAAAUAUGAUUAGUAACAAAGUAAAGAACUAUAAAAAAUACAAGUUAUAAAUAAAUAAAAGUGUUAAAAAAAGA